AUAUAAGCAUCGACGGAGACAGUACUUAUUGUGUGCAAGUGAAGCGAGUUAGGGAUAGUGAAAGCCUAAUCAAUGCAGCAAUAACGAAUAUCACUCCUGAGCUAAAUUAUUGAAAUUGUAGUAAAUAAUUUCGUUUCACGCAGCGUUAUUUGCGUCUAAGAGGUAUAGCUUUUGCGCUAUGCAAAUUAGGGUGGUACCACGAGCAAUCGCUUCUCGUCCCUUUU
rnacentral:ncRNA from 1 species